rnacentral:rRNA from 1 species
AGUGAACGCUGGCGGUAGGCCUAACACAUGCAAGUCGAACGGCAGCACAGUAAGAGCUUGCUCUUACGGGUGGCGAGUGGCGGACGGGUGAGGAAUACAUCGGAAUCUACUUUUUCGUGGGGGAUAACGUAGGGAAACUUACGCUAAUACCGCAUACGACCUACGGGUGAAAGCAGGGGUUCUUCGGACCUUGCGCGAUUGAAUGAGCCGAUGUCGGAUUAGCUAGUUGGCGGGGUAUAGGCCCACCAAGGCGACGAUCCGUAGCUGGUCUGAGAGGAUGAUCAGCCACACUGGAACUGAGACACGGUCCAGACUCCUACGGGAGGCAGCAGUGGGGAAUAUUGGACAAUGGGCGCAAGCCUGAUCCAGCCAUACCGCGUGGGUGAAGAAGGCCUUCGGGUUGUAAAGCCCUUUUGUUGGGAAAGAAAAGCAGCAGGUUAAUACCCCGCUGUUCUGACGGUACCCAAAGAAUAAGCACCGGCUAACUUCGUG